rnacentral:rRNA from 1 species
UGGGGGAUAUUGCACAAUGGCGAAAGCCUUAUGCAGCGACGCCGCGUGGGGGAUGAAGGCUUUCGGGUUGUAAACCUCUUUCGCUAUCGAACAAGGCCCGCUUAGGGUGGGUUGAGGGUAGGUGGAGAAGAAGCGCCGGCUAACUACGUGCCAGCAGCCGCGGUAAUACGUAGGGCGCGAGCGUUGUCCGGAAUUAUUGGGCGUAAAGGGCUUGUAGGCGGCUUGUUGCGCCUGCUGUGAAAACGCGGGGCUUAACUUCGCGCGUGCAGUGGGUACGGGCAGGCUUGAGUGUGGUAGGGGUGACUGGAAUUCCAGGUGUAGCGGUGGAAUGCGCAGAUAUCUGGAGGAACACCGAUGGCGAAGGCAGGUCACUGGGCCAUUACUGACGCUGAGGAGCGAAAGCAUGGGUAGCGAACAGG